AUGAAGGGGAGUGGGGGUGAAACCAGGGUCACUAGCAAGGACCCUGUAUGUAAUGAGCCAGUGCUUCUGGGAGGGGCUUGUGCUAGUAAGAUCCCACAGUCUUGUGGGAGGAAUGAGGAGGACAACACACCCUUUUGUAGGAAGAACACAAGGGAUGAUGUGAGGUUGGUGGCUUUGAUAACACAUGAGCAUGGACAAGAUGGUAUUGGGGCUUUAGGAAGCAGUGGGGGAGAACUUCAGAUUUCUUCUGGAAGUUUGAGGGAGAGCCCCUCUAGAAAGGUAGUGUGCCGGAAAGCCCAGCUGAAGUGCCUUUACACUAAUGCACCCAGCAUGGGAAAUAAGCAGGAGGAACUGGAAACCGUGAUGUGCUUGGAAAAUUAUGAUCUGGUUGCUAUCACGGAAACGUGGUGGGAUGAAUCCCACAAUUGGAAUACUCUUACUGAGGGCUACAGGCUCUUCAGAAGGGACAGACAGGGCAGGAAGGGAGGGGGAGUUGCCCUCUACGUUAGGAAGUGGAUAGAUUGUGAAGAGCUGUGUCUGAGUAACAGCCAUGACCAGGUUGAGAGCUUAUGGGUUAAAAUCAGCGAUCAGUCCAGUAAAGGAGAUCUAGUGGUUGGGGUCUGUUACAGGCCACCUGAUCAGGGGGAGCCUGUGGACGAGGCCUUCUUGCUCCAGCUGCAGGAGGUGUCGCGUUCGCGGGCUCUUGUCCUGAUGGGGGAUUUCAACCACCCGGAUAUCUGCUGGGAUAGAGGCAAGGUAGGCGGCAGACAGUCCAGCAGAUUCCUGGAGUCUGUUGAGGAUAACUUCCUUGUCCAGGUAUUAGACGGACCGAUCCGAGGUGAAGCCUUACUGGACCUGGUGCUCACCAACGUGGAGGAGAGCAUUAGAGGAGUUAAGAUUGGAGGCAGCCUGGGCUGUAGUAAUCAUGCCCUGAUGGAGUUUGUGAUCUGGAGGAAUGCAGGCCUGGCAAAGAGUAAAGUCAGGACCCUGAACUUCAGGAGAGCAAACUUCCGGCUGCUCAAGGAACUGCUGGGUGGGAUCCCCUGGGAAACUGUCCUUAAGGGCGUAGGAACAGAGCAGAACUGGCAGCUCUUUAAGGACACCCUCCUGAGAGCCCAAGAGCUCUCCAUUCCCCAGCAAAAGAAAUCGAGCAGAGGAGGUGGGCAACCGGCAUGGCUGAGCAAGGACCUGCAGCUUAAACUGAGGGAAAAGAGAGAAAUGUAUGCGAAGUGA
ensembl:lncRNA